UUUGAUCCUGGCUCAGGAUGAACGCUGGCGGCAUGCCUAACACAUGCAAGUCAACGGGGUUUAUAUAACAGAACUCUCCGGAGGGAAGAUAUAUAAACCUAGUGGCGGACGGGUGAGUAACGCGUGGGCAACCUGCCCUGUACCGGGGGACAACAGCCAGAAAUGGCUGCUAAUACCGCAUAAGCCUGCGGUGCCGCAUGGCACAGCAGGGAAAACCACGGUGGUACAGGAUGGGCCCGCGUCUGAUUAGUUAGUUGGCAGGGUAACGGCCUACCAAGACGAUGAUCAGUAGCCGGCUUGAGAGAGUGGACGGCCACAUUGGGACUGAGACACGGCCCAGACUCCUGCGGGAGGCAGCAGUGGGGAAUAUUGCACAAUGGGGGAAACCCUGAUGCAGCAAUGCCGCGUGGGUGAAGAAGCACUCCGGUGCGUAAAGCCCUGUCAGCAGGGAAGAAAAUGACAGUACCUGACCAAGAAGCCCCGGCUAACUACGUG
rnacentral:rRNA from 1 species